UUACGGCCACAUCACGUUGAAACACUGGUUCUCGUACGAUCACCAAAGUUAAGCAACGUCGAGCCUGAUCAGUAUCUAGAUGGGUGACCGCUUGGGAAUACCAG